AACUAAGCAUUCAGAGCAUCCUCAAUGAUAUGGCUGGGCGGGGCAUAGAUUUUGUCGGUUGUUUUGUCGACUCGGUUCCAUAACAGCGAUGUCACGAGGACCAGGGCGGCGGCACUAACCAGACUGGAGAACCACACCUGUCCGUAGAUAAUCUCGUUGUGGAUCCGCCUCGAUGACGCUCAUAAUCAUAGGUAGUUGGUCGGGUUUCACGUGACAUCUGAACAGUGUUAAUAGUGUUAACGUUACAUUGUUAAACUGUACGCCCCCUGAACAAAGGUUCGCGGUUCGUAUACGUAAGUCGUGUUGCAUUGGAUGCUGUUCGCUCUUUUAUGCCCCCAAAAUGGAAUCCUAAGGUACAACGAGUGAGCUUCAUAGAUAGUACUGGUCACCGUGCAUGGGAAGAAACAUGGCUGAACUGUACAAUCAGGUUGGCUUCGUGGCAUUGGGCUUCAUAGCUGCCUUGUUGGUUAGCAACAUCCCGCUUCCUGCCACCAGAGAGACAAACGAAGAAUGCUCCAAGGAUUCACCAAUGUCUGGCAUGGAUGCACAAAAAGAGACUUUGCUCUACUCUGCCCCUUUCUCGGCGGAGGAAAAACAGUCAAAAUGCAGCCGCAGUCAAG